rnacentral:rRNA from 1 species
GCAGCCGCGGUAAUACGGAAGAUGCGAGCGUUAUCCGGAUUUAUUGGGUUUAAAGGGAGCGUAGGCGGCCUGUUAAGUCAGCGGUUAAAUGUCAGUGCCCAACAUUGGCAUGCCGUUGAUACUGGUGGGCUUGAAUACACACAAGGAUGGUGGAAUUCGUUGUGUAGCGGUGAAAUGCUUAGAUAUGACGAAGAACUCCGAUUGCGAAGGCAGCCAUCUGGGGUGCGAUUGACGCUGAGGCUCGAAAGUGCGGGAAUCAAACAGGAUUAGAUACCCC